AUUGAACGCUGGCGGCAGGCUUAACACAUGCAAGUCGAGCGGGGGAAGGUAGCUUGCUACCGGACCUAGCGGCGGACGGGUGAGUAAUGCUUAGGAAUCUGCCUAUUAGUGGGGGACAACAUCUCGAAAGGGAUGCUAAUACCGCAUACGUCCUACGGGAGAAAGCAGGGGAUCUUCGGACCCUGCGCUAAUAGAUGAGCCUAAGUCGGAUUAGCUAGUUGGUGGGGUAAAGGCCUACUAAGGCGACGAUCUGUAGCGCGUCUGAGAGGAUGAGCCGCCACACUGGGACAGGAACACGGCCCAGACUCCUACGGGAGGCAGCAGUGGGGAAUAUUGGACAAAGGGGGGAACCCUGAUCCAGCCAUGCCGCGUGUGUGAAGAAGGCCUUAUGGUUGUAAAGCACCUUAAGCGAGGAGGAGGCUACUCUAGUUAAUACCUAGGGAUAGUGGACGUUACUCGCAGAAUAAGCACCAGCUAACUCUGUGCCAGCCGCCGCGGUAA
rnacentral:rRNA from 1 species